rnacentral:rRNA from 1 species
GACGAACGCUGGCGGCGUGCUUAAUACAUGCAAGUCGAGCGAACAGAUGCGGAGCUUGCUCCUCUGACGUUAGCGGCGGACGGGUGAGUAACACGUGGAUAACCUACCUAUCAGACUGGGAUAAUCUCGGGAAACCGGAGCUAAUACCGGAUAAUAUAUUGCACCGCAGGGUUCAAUAGUGAAAUACGGUUUUGCUGUCACUUAUAGAUGGAUCCGCGCCGCAUUAGAUAGUUGGUAAGUUAACGGCUUUCCAAGGCAACGAUGCGUAGCCGACCGCAUAGGGUGGUCGGCCACACUGGAGCGGAGAUACGGUCCAGACGCCUGCGGGAGGCAGCAGUAGGGAAUCUUACGCAAUGGGGGAGAGCCUGACGGAGCAACGCCGCGUGAGUGAUGAAGGUCUUGGGAUCGUAAAGCCCGGUUAUUAGUUAAGAACAAAUGUGUAAGUAACCGUGCACGUCUUGACGGUACCGAAUCAGAAAGCCACGGCUAACUACGUG